rnacentral:rRNA from 1 species
UAGAACGCAUUCGGAAUCAGGCCGAAAGGUCUGCGCCAGCGAUGGCCGGUUGCGAGGUGCUGCAUGGUUGUCGUCAGCUCGUGCCGUGAGGUGUCGGGUUAAGUCCCAUAACGAGCGCAACCCCUACUGCUAGUUGCCAGCGGGUCAUGCCGGGGACUCUAGCGGAACUGCCAGCGUAAGCUGCGAGGAAGGUGGGGAUGACGUCAAAUCAGCACGGCCCUUACGUCCAGGGCUACACACGUGUUACAAUGGCCAGUACAGAGGGCAGCCACCCCGCGAGGGGCGCUAAUCCUAAAAGCUGGUCCCAGUUCGGAUCGGAGUCUGCAACCCGACUCCGUGAAGCUGGAUUCGCUAGUAAUCGCGCAUCAGCCACGGCGCGGUGAAUACGUUCCCGGGCCUU